rnacentral:lncRNA from 10 species
UCCUCCCUUAGCCUUCUGCGUAAAGAUGGACUUGCAGGAGGAGAACACACCCUGCAACUACAGAACCUCAUGCAUCCCCAAAGAACAUUCAAGUCUGAGCCUCAAGGAGCCUCUGCGACUCGGUGUCUAGAUCCAGGAAAUGGAGAAUGAGCCGUGACUUUGGAUGCUUCACUCUUGUCCAUCAGGCUCGGAAUUGGGUAGCCCGGCUCUGCAGGGACAGUCACGGAGCUGAAAAACUGCUGCCUAAUGAAGCUGUUUUCUUCUACCACCGGCUCACCCUCAAAUUAUUUCCUGAGCGAACUCAAG